rnacentral:rRNA from 1 species
AGUGAACGCUGGCGGCAGGCCUAACACAUGCAAGUCGAACGGCAGCACAGCAGUAGCAAUACUGUGGGUGGCGAGUGGCGGACGGGUGAGGAAUACAUCGGAAUCUGCCUAGUCGUGGGGGAUAACGUAGGGAAACUUACGCUAAUACCGCAUACGACCUACGGGUGAAAGCGGGGAUCGCAAGACCUCGCGCGAUUAGAUGAGCCGAUGUCCGAUUAGCUAGUUGGCGGGGUAAUGGCCCACCAAGGCGACGAUCGGUAGCUGGUCUGAGAGGAUGAUCAGCCACACUGGAACUGAGACACGGUCCAGACUCCUACGGGAGGCAGCAGUGGGGAAUAUUGGACAAUGGGCGGCAAGGCCCUGAUCCAGCCAUGCCGCGU